rnacentral:tRNA from 1 species
GGGCCUGUAGCUCAGACGGACAGAGCAGUGGUUUCCUAAACCACGUGUCGGGAGUUCGAGUCUCCCCAGGCCCACCA